rnacentral:rRNA from 1 species
GACGAACGCUGGCGGCGUGCCUAAUACAUGCAAGUCGAGCGCAGGAAAUCAUCCGAACCCUUCGGGGGGACGUUGGUGGAAUGAGCGGCGGACGGGUGAGUAACACGUAAAGAACCUGCCCUCAGGUCUGGGAUAACCACGAGAAAUCGGGGCUAAUACCGGAUGGGUCAUCGGACCGCAUGGUCCGAGGAUGAAAGGCGCUUCGGCGUCGCCUGGGGAUGGCUUUGCGGUGCAUUAGCUAGUUGGUGGGGUAAUGGCCCACCAAGGCGACGAUGCAUAGCAGACCUGAGAGGGUGAUCGGCCACACUGGGACUGAGACACGGCCCAGACUCCUACGGGAGGCAGCAGUAGGGAAUCUUCCACAAUGGACGAAAGUCUGAUGGAGCAACGCCGCGUGAACGAUGAAGGCCUUCGGGUCGUAAAGUUCUGUUGUAAGGGAAGAACAAGUGCCGCAGGCAAUGGCGGCACCUUGACGGUACCUUACGAGAAAGCCACGGCUAACUACGUGCCAGCAGCCGCCGUAA